rnacentral:siRNA from 1 species
AGCAUCUUUGGUUCGCGACACAGG